AGUGAACGCUGGCGGUAGGCCUAACACAUGCAAGUCGAACGGCAGCACAGUAAGAGCUUGCUCUUACGGGUGGCGAGUGGCGGACGGGUGAGGAAUACAUCGGAAUCUACUUUUUCGUGGGGGAUAACGUAGGGAAACUUACGCUAAUACCGCAUACGACCUACGGGUGAAAGCAGGGGAUCCUCGGACCUUGCGCGAUUGAAUGAGCCGAUGUCGGAUUAGCUAGUUGGCGGGGUAAAGGCCCACCAAGGCGACGAUCCGUAGCUGGUCUGGGAGGAUGAUACGCCACACGGGAAAUUGGGCAGCGUCCAGACUCCUACGGGAGGCCGCAGUGGGGAAUGUUGGACAAUGGGCGCAAGCCUGGUCCAGCCAUCCCGCGUGGGUGAAGAAGGCCUUCGGGUUGUAAAGCCCUUUUGUUGGGAAAGAAAAGCAGCAGGUUAAUACCCCGCUGUUCUGACGGUACCCAAAGAAUAAGCACCGGCUAACUUCGUG
rnacentral:rRNA from 1 species